rnacentral:tRNA from 1 species
GGGGUAGCUCAGUUGGUAGAGCGCCGCCACUAUGGGCGGAGGUCGUCGGUUCGAGUCCGAUCCCUUUCC